CGGGGGCCGGGCCGCGGGGCUCCCCGCUCCCGACCACCUUUCGGAUCCGCCUCCCGGGUCCUCCCCGGAAGCCAGGGAGGCGCGCGAGCCCCGAGGAAUUAAAGAUGGACUCCUGUUGAUGACAAACGGACCUACAGUUCCUGCUGUGAGAUGAGAGAGUGGGAUUCGCUGUCCUGAAGUCGCUAAGCUUGGACCCUGGUUCCUCUUCAUGAGAGACUAAAGAGAUGGAAGCCUUAAAGUCUGAGAAUAAAAAGAGGGUGCUGCCCACAUGGAUGACAGCCCAGGUGGCUGAAAAGAGGGCGGUGCAGGUGAAGACCCCCAAGAGGAGACCAGCCACGGUGCCAGCAGCUGCAGCCAGAUUUCCUGCCGUGAGGACUGUGUACUGCAUGAAUGAAGCCGAAAUUGUCGACAUUGCUCUGGGGAUCCUCAUUGAGGAGGACCGAAAACAGGAAAAGCCGUUGGAGCCGCCACCUCUGGCAGGCGCUGAUAAGCCAGAGCGCUCCCCGGCCAGCCCAGCGCCGCCGUCCCCAAGUCCCCGCUGGAGCCGAAGCGAGGACAGUGAGGAAGACGACUGUGGGGCAGACGGCCCUGCCCUGGGGCCCUCGGGUUCUGACGCGGCCUGCAGCAGAAGCCUCGAGGAAGACCAGGACGAGCUAAAAUACGUCAGGGAGAUCUUUUUCAGCUGAGGGACGCACUUCCAGGACCUUCUGCCGAGAGCGGCUGAAGGAGGCUGGGCUUCCCCUCUCAGCCCGAGCGCUGCCCUCAGACUGUGACAGCUUCUGCUCCCAGCGUCAAGCCUCCCUGGGCUGGGUGGAUUCACCAGGGGAGGUGAAGAGUCA
rnacentral:lncRNA from 1 species